GGAAGUCUUCGAUCCCACCCUUUCGACGGAGAAUACCUUCUUGUUUGGUCGGGCCAGCCUUCUGAAUUACAUCGAAGAUCACUACAACAAGGAUUCUGUCAAAGUGUCCGACGAAGAACAUAUAACCUUCCUUACUUUAUGGCUUUCAUACUACGUGUUUUGUCCUGAUUCUUUGCAGAUAACUGUUGUACCCCAAAAUUUGCCCUCCCCUUUUCUUCACGUUUCCAUCUAACCAUUUGACUAGAUUUCAAUUGCAUGCAUUAUUAACUCAUGCAUAAGCACCAUUCAUCACCAUGGAUUUCAAGUGUUUGGCUUGCAGGGCUUUGGCUUGUUGGUACAACAAUUGGAAAUGCUUGGUUUGGACUUGCACUUGCCCCUGAGGGCUCCAAAACCCUAAUCUCAGGUGAUCUCAGCAUCCGGUACUUGGUCCGUCCACUGUGUCCCGUUUGGUGCUCGAGUCUUUUGGUCAUGAUCCACACCCUUGGUCUCAU
rnacentral:lncRNA from 1 species